CCAUUAUCAUGAUUAUUUACACUCACACAGACCCCAGCGGGACCACACGCACGCUCACAGGGCGCAGAGGGGCCCGCAGCCCGGCAGUGCAGCAGGCAGCUGAGUGGCUGUGGACCCGGCGCUGAUCUGGGUGAGGCGCCGAUGAAUAUGCAUCGCCCUGCCCUCAUCUCCGGAUGGAAAUGAUCGAUACCCGGGCCGGGGCUGCGUCCACCAGCGCACAGGAAGCUCCGGGGAGAGGCUGGGCCUCGCUCCUGCUCAUGAUCACGGCCGCGGACAAGGACGCGCCGGAGGCUUCCCCGCGGCUGUCCGGAGGGCCCUCAUUAUCCACGCGGAUAACGAUGAUGAAUGCGGCUCCUCCUCGCCGCUGAGAACAGCCCGAGUGAAAGCCGUCCUGGCCUCCUGCUCUGACUGGGAGGGAUGGUUCCUUCUCUGUGUCCGCCUCGUUAAUUCCCUAAAUGGAACGGCGGCUGUAUUUCACGCUCAGGUUCGGGUGUCUGUGGUUGAUCGAAGGCAUGACUCUGCACUGAACCGAAGCCCCCAGCUCGGUCUAGAACACACGUCCUGCCGUCAGCAUGUCCCACAGACGUGGCCACGGGGCCAGCUGGGGACGCGGAAAGCCACCCACGCACCCAUGAGCAUCCCGGGCCGCCCGCUGGAAAUGGAUCUGUUCCUUCUGCAGGACCUCGGCCGCACGCGUGCCUGUCCGGGGAGUCCCAGAACCGCUCCAGCUGUGAGUUUGCAAGGCCUCAAUCCACGACCUGUGACUGUGAGGUCAUGGCUUUAAGACCACGAAGCACUGCUCGGUUUGCCAAAUGCCCAGUGGUCAGUUCCAAGCUGAGGAGACGGCGGGGAAAUGCCCAGUGGUCAGCUCCAAGCUGAGGAGACGGCGGGGAAUGCUAAGCUAACCCUCCCCAGGGAGGAGCGGGCGGGUUUGGAGCCCCAGCUGAGUCAGGUGAGGGACCGGCCCCGCUGGUCCCCUACUCUCCUCCGGGCCUCCUGUGGAGGGGCAGCCACACCCGCUCUGCUGCCCCCUGCUGGCCCGGGGGGCUGGGUGCACCUGUGCUGAUGGGCCAGCCCCAGGGGAACCAGUGACACCCACUUGUCAUUGCCAGGAUGCCAUGGCCAGACAGCCCGUGGAGGAAAGGGACACUCCUCUGGCCUAGAGAAUAUGGGGAGUGAUUUCCUGCCUCUAUUGGCGACACGAGUGGACAGAAGAAAGGCGGUCGGGGUUUUACUUUACCCCGUGGCCGGGAAGCACGCGAGCGGUAUGCGUGUCUCUCACCCCCUGUAAGCCAGGCUCUGACGGCUCAGAGACAGGUCCCAGACCCACAGCACACGAGAAGGGCCUUCUCAGAGGUGAUGGUUCCAAUAUUUCUCAUCUCAAAUGCUUGUCUCACCACCUCACGCCGACACGCCUCCCCUAAGGGGCGGAACAGGGGUCCUCUCCCCUUGACCCCGGGCCGACCUUUGUGACCCUGGAUCAGCAGGGGGCAGAGAAGUGAUGCUGUGUCACCUCUGAGGCCAAGGCUGUACACAGUCCCUGCCUGGCAUGCAGCCCCCUGCUGUGAGGAAGCCCAGGCCACGCAGGGGGACCCACAGGCGGUCCAGCCCACAGUCGCAUCCACCUCGACCGUGGCUCAGGCCGCACCAGGUCCCGGGGGUCAGGUCACCCCAGUCUCUAUCCUUCCAGAUGAGGACCUGGGCGCCGGGGCCCGGGCAAGCCCUCCCGCCCUGGUCGGCUCCGACUCAGUGCAUUACUCCUGCGUGUCACUCCCAUGGGGGGUGGGCUACUGUGCACCAAUGAUUCUUCAGGAUUCUGUUCAAGGAGAGGGAAUUCAAUGGCUCAGGUGACAGACUAAAGGGACAGUUCUUCUUCUUAUUAUUUUUUAAUGACAAGGAAUCUCCCUUCAGGCACCUAUACGGUAAGGCAUGUUUAUUUACUUAGUACGUGAAUGGCCCAGCCGGCGAUUUCUCUUUGCCUUGUCCAGAGCUGGUCCCGCCCACUCCCCAGCAACCAAUGUGUGGAGCAAGCAAAUCCAUGCACGGACUGGCCCCGUUAUGGUAUCCGGCCUUGAGUGCAGACAGUCUGCCUUUAACAGGGCCACGUGCGUCCCAUGUCCUGCCACCAUGGCUCCCGAGGCGGCCCGAGGGCUCCUUCCCAUGGUGACGCCUGGCCAUCUCCAAGGUUAGGCUGCAUUUGUGCUGGUUUAACUCCCCGAACUCAUUACACGGUGUCUUCGCUGCAUUCAAUCCCCCGGGACACCACCUCCCCACACCGCCCCCUCCGCCGCGACGCACAUGUUACAUUUCAUUGCAUCGGCGUUGCAAUAGGUUACAUGUCAGACAGCAGAGGAGUGAGGCUGUGCUAUCCCAGGGAAACCUACUGCUUAUCUUUAAGGAGAGGUGCAGGUUUAAUUAAGACAUACACAUCUAAGAUUCACCCCCGCAAUUAGACGCCUGGCGUCUGCGUUCGACAUGCACUAAUUAGGCUCUAAUCAGCAAAGGCGCUGCCUCCCUCGGAUGACUGCGUCGCCCACCCAAUUACCGAGGCUCGUCCUGCCCACUGGCGUGCCCUCGGCUCCCCGAGACGACCUCCCUGAGUUCAGGGGGACAUCAGAGGGUGGAGGGGCCAGGCCAUGGCUGGCAGCCUGCACGCUCCUACUGAGGAAGCCCUACUGUGUUUGCCAAGAAGGUCGAGUAAUACACACAGUUUAUGUUGAGACGCUGCCAUGGGCCAGCCCGGUGGGCUGUCUGACGCCGUUAGCUAACCUGGCACACCGUUCCCAGGGCUGCUUUCUGUCAGGGCUGGAGAACUUCCUUUGAAAAGUCUAACUUGCUGGGAAUUCUGUUUGCUGUGAUUUCUUAGAUUUUAUUACAGUAAAGGAAACGGACUCAGCCCCGCCCUAAGGUUCCGAAUGCUGUGGGAGCACCGGCUGCAGCUGGACGGGCCCAUGGUUUCUGGCCGAAGGAAGAAGCAGGAGAAGGCCGUCCCCGUUGCAGCACGUUCUCCACUGCUUGCUGCAGAGUUUGUUUUCCUCUCUGAUUCCGGAACCUUCCUUGGCGCCGAUGUCAGAGGAGUCCUUAGUGGGGUCGGGGCAGCCAGCAAUGGCUCCUCGGGUCAGCGGCCGCUGCCCUCCCCCUGCAGCCCCGCAUCUUGGAAAACGCAGGCAUGGAAAACACACUCAUUAACGAGGUGUCCACUACUUCACAUGACACCAAUAAUCAGAGGAAAAGCGGAGGAUUGACUUCCUAACCAGGCCGGCAAGCCAGUGAUGCUGAGCACCGUGUUGGCCUUCAUCGGAGAGCGCCUUUCCCGCGGACGCCGUGCGCACCACUAGUUCCUGUCCAUGGGUAUGCUACUCCAAGCUGAAUUCAGCACCAACCCACCACACUGAGAAAUGACUCAACCAGCAGGUCAUGUGAGUAACUGUCAACAACCCCAGUGUCUGGGCUGCAGGGCUGGGUCCUGACAUCAGACAAGGAGAGGCCGGCAGUGACUCAUGUGCCAGCUGCAUAUGCCGCGUGACAGUUCUCACAGGAGAAAACCCCGGCACGCCGUUAAUUAGCCACAUGCCCGCUUUAAAAACGCUGAUGCCAGACGAUAAACAACUCUUCAGCUCCUGUAAACAUCUAA